GACGAACGCUGGCGGCGUGCCUAAUACAUGCAAGUCGAGCGAAUCACUAGGAGCUUGCUCCUGGUGGUUAGCGGCGGACGGGUGAGUAACACGUGGGCAACCUGCCUGUAAGACUGGGAUAACACCGGGAAACCGGUGCUAAUACCGGAUAAUCCUUUUCCUCUCAUGAGGAAAAGCUGAAAGUCGGUUUCGGCUGACGCUUACAGAUGGGCCCGCGGCGCUUUAGCUAGUUGGUGAGGUAACGGCUCACCAAGGCGACGAUGCGUAGCCGACCUGAGGGGGUGAUCGGCCACACUGGGACUGAGACACGGCCAAGACUCCUACGGGAGGCAGCAGUAGGGAAUCUUCCACAAUGGACGAAAGUCUGAUGGAGCAACGCCGCGUGAGCGAUGAAGGCCUUCGGGUCGUAAAGCUCUGUUGUUAGGGAAGAACAAGUACCGGAGUAACUGCCGGUACCUUGACGGUACCUAACCAGAAAGCCACGGCUAACUACGUGCCAGCCGCCGCUGUAACAC
rnacentral:rRNA from 1 species